GUUAAAAAUAGGAAUAUGGGAUUUUUUAAUAUGGGAAAAAUGGCUUGUCUUAUGGUCUGUAGAUGGUUAGUCUUACAAUUUGAAGUCAUAGUGCGCGUAGAAAAUUACCUAAAAUCCGUAGUUGAUCAAGCAAGUAUUUUUCAUGUUUCUGGGUUAUUGAAGGAUUGAUUGCAAGAUUAUAAUUUAGUGCCACUGGAAUCCUUUAUUUAUUUUAUCAAGCACUUCCAACCCUAACUAAGCGUGUUUGAACUAAUCCAAAGGUGCUCUGAAUCUAAAUCCCAUGUAAUUUUUUGUAAUAUUGGAGUUUUGGAAGAGUUGCUUUGUAACAUCUAGCUUUUGAGUUUCUUGUUAGGCAGAUGCAUCAUAAAUGUACAUCCUAUUGUGUGGUAAUGUAACUCAAAGCUUGAUGUGCUAAAGAUGGCUUAUUAUUUUCGUUUAUUUGAAGACUAAACUCCAAGUAAUAAGCUAAUUAUAAAAAAUCCUUUUUCAUGUUGAAGCAUAUUAAGGUGCAACAAACUACACUUCUAAUAAGCUAAUUGUCAGAAAUCCUUUUUAAUGUUGAAGCAUAUGAAGGUGCAAUAAACUGCACUCCAAUAAUAAGCUAAUCGUCACAAAUUCUUUUUCAUGUUGAAGCGUAUGAAGAAAGAUGCAAAAAACUCCAUAUCUGUGUUUUGUUUGCCUGUUCCUAAACCCUGCCCAAUGACUUAUUGUACCUAGUAUUCUAGUCCACUGGAAAACUUGUGGUUGCUGUCUCCUGUGCCCUUCAACUCACUAUCUGAGACACAUUUAUUGAAUCUCAGAUAAAGUAUCCUAUUUAUUUGUUAUAGCUUCACAUACUCUGGUGAAUAAUUUCUUAAUGUAAUUACUUCUGCAGUCUACAUGAAUUUUAUUGAUUGAAGCUUGCUUGCCAGUGCAGCUUGGUUGUUGGUAUGAGUAUGACCUGUACUGUCAAACAGGGUUCUCUGGACUGGAGUGAAGCAGUUAUUGGAGAUUGAUAUUGGUCUAAUUAUUCUCAAUUUUUAAGACCAUUUCAAACAAUAUGGCUGUCCACUCUAGGCUUCGGCUGAUUUCCUACUCACAAGAGCUUGUAGAUGGACAGCCAGUCUAUGUUUCUUCAAAUUCCCUUCCAAUUAAGGCUUUAAAAUUUGAACCUGCUGGGCAUGCAUUCCACACGGCUGCUCUCAAACUACUUGGCUGUGAGGAGGAAGAUGCAGAUGGUGAAGAUCAGAAAGUGUCCAAUGAAAAGGAACAGGCAUAUAUACCAUCAUAUGAUUCUUAUAGCAGCAAAGGUAAAAAGAAAUCUGGCAUUGGAGACAAGCAACAAGAUCAUUAUGCCUUGUUAGGUUUGGGCCAUUUGAGAUAUCUUGCCACAGAAGAACAGAUAAGAAAAAGCUAUCGUGAGGUUGCUUUGAAAUAUCAUCCUGACAAACAGGCUGCUCUUCUUCUUGCUGAGGAAACUGAGGCUGCAAAGCAAGCAAAAAAGGAAGAAAUAGAGAGCCACUUUAAAUCCAUCCAAGAAGCGUAUGAAUUUUUGAUUGAUCCUGUAAAGAGAAGAAUUUAUGACUCCACAGAUGAGUUUGAUGAUGAAAUUCCCACUGACUGCGCAUCUCACGACUUCUUCAGGGUGUUUGGUCCUGCAUUUAUGAGGAAUGGACGAUGGUCAGUAAACCAGCCAGUCCCAUCUCUUGGUGAUGAUAACACUCCCUUAAAAGAAGUUGAAAACUUUUAUGAUUUUUGGUACAGCUUUAAGAGCUGGAGAGAGUUCCCACAUGCUGAUGAGUUUGAUCUUGAACAAGCUGAAUCUCGUGAUCACAAGAGGUGGAUGGAAAGGCAGAAUGCAAAACUCACAGAGAAGGCAAGGAAGGAAGAAUAUGUACGGAUACGUACUCUUGUUGACAAUGCUUAUAGAAGAGAUCCAAGAAUAUUGAGAAGAAAGGAAGAGGAAAAAGCUGAAAAGCAGAGAAAGAAAGAAGCUAAAAUUUUGGCAAAGAAGUUGCAGGAGGAAGAAGCUGCAAGGGCUGCUGAAGAGGAGAAACGUCGUAAGGAGGAGGAGGAAAGGUGUGCCGCUGAAGCUGCUUUGCAACAGAAGAAGUUAAAGGAAAAAGAGAAGAAACUUCUGCGUAAAGAACGGACUCGUCUUCGAACACUUUCAGCUUCUAUUUUGUGUCGGCAUUUGCUUGAUCUUUUUGAGGAUGAUGUCGAAAAUCUUUGUUUGUCAUUGGAUAUUGAGCAGCUGAGGAAUAUAUGUGAUGAGAUGGAGGGUAAAAACUUGCUAGAGCAAGCAAAAGUGCUCAGAGAUGCAGGUGGAUCUAGUCAUGAUUCUGAGAGCAAUAUCCAAGACGAGAAGAAAAAUGUACAACAGAAUGGCUCUGCUGUAUCGGAUGGAAGUGUUCCAUUAAGCAGCUUGGAAAAGAAAGAGAAACCUUGGGGGAAAGAAGAAAUUGAGCUUCUGAGAAAAGGAAUGCAGAAAUAUCCCAAAGGAACAUCUCGAAGGUGGGAGGUUAUUUCAGAGUACAUUGGUACGGGAAGAUCUGUUGAGGAAAUUCUGAAGGCAACAAAAACUGUCCUCCUUCAGAAGCCUGACACUGCUAAAGCUUUUGAUUCCUUUCUUGAGAAGAGGAAGCCUGCGCAAUCCAUUGCAUCUCCACUUACAACUAGAGAGGAAAUGGAAGGAUCUGCAACUAAACAAGGGCCUGAAAGCAGUGCGGCAAAGAUGGAUAAUUCAGAGGAAUCUUCGAGUAUAUCUGAGAAUAACAAGAAACCUGAUGAAGGGGUUGCUGAAAAUGGGGUUUCUUUGAGCUCAGAGCAAGAUGCAUGGUCUGCUGUACAGGAAAGAGCACUAGUUCAGGCUCUGAAAACCUUCCCAAGGGAAACCAGUCAACGUUGGGAGCGAGUUGCAGCUGCUGUUCCUGGGAAGACUGUUAAUCAGUGCAAGAAAAAAUUUGCUUUGCUAAAAGACAACUUCAGAAACAAGAAAAAUGCAGUCUAGUUUGUUGGAUGGGCCCUAAGGUUGUUUUGAAGUGCAGACUUGUAUGAGAUAGUCAUUGAUUUUUCCUUUUUUUGCUUUAGAUUCCAUUAUUUUCCUUCCAGGAUGGAAUCACUGAUGCUGUAUGCGAGAAGAGAGUAAUUGUUAUCUCUCGUCUCACCAUCUAGCUUUUACCAACUGACUUUUGCUGUUAUGACUGUUAAUAUAUUUUGCUGUAGACAUUGUCAGGUGGAGAGCCGUGGAUACGAAGUUUUUUGGUUGUCACUGUUGAAAGUGCUCCAUGUCAAGAGCAAUAUAUUAUAUAAUUUUAUCUCCAGAUGAUACAUAAUAUUACAAAGACU
rnacentral:misc_RNA from 1 species